rnacentral:tRNA from 1 species
UCCCAGGUGGCUCAGAGGUUAAAGCAUCUGCCUGCAAUGUGGGAGACCUGGGUUCGAUCCCUGGGUUGGGAA